GAACGCUGGCGGCGUGCUUAACACAUGCAAGUCGAACGGAAAGGCCUUUUCGGAGGUACUCGAGUGGCGAACGGGUGAGUAACACGUGGGUGAUCUGCCCUGCACUCUGGGAUAAGCCUGGGAAACUGGGUCUAAUACCGGAUAGGACCGCACUUUAGUGUGUGUGGUGGAAAGUUUUUUCGGUGUAGGAUGAGCCCGCGGCCUAUCAGUUUGUUGGUGGGGUAAUGGCCUACCAAGGCGGCGACGGGUAGCCGGACUGAGAGGUUGGUCGGCCACAUUGGGACUGAGAUACGGCCCAGACUCCUACGGGAGGCAGCAGUGGGGAAUAUUGCACAAUGGGCGCAAGCCUGAUGCAGCGACGCCGCGUGGGGGAUGACGGCCUUCGGGUUGUAAACUCCUUUCGCCAGGGACGAAGCGUUUUGUGACGGUACCUGGAGAAGAAGCACCGGCUAACUACGUGCCAGCAGCCGCGGUAAUACGUAGGGUGCAAGCGUUGUCCGGAAUUACUGGGCGUAAAGAGCUCGUAGGUGGUUUGUCACGUCGUCUGUGAAAUUCCACAGCUUAACUGUGGGCGUGCAGGCGAUACGGGCUGACUUGAGUACUGUAGGGGUAACUGGAAUUCCUGGUGUAGCGGUGAAAUGCGCAGAUAUCAGGAGGAACACCGAUGGCGAAGGCAGGUUACUGGGCAGUUACUGACGCUGAGGAGCGAAAGCAUGGGUAGCAAACAGGAUUAGAUACCCUGGUAGUCCAUGCCGUAAACGGUGGGCGCUAGGUGUAGGGGCCUUUUGGGGUUUCUGUGCCGUAGCUAACGCAUUAAGGCGCCCCGCCUGGGGAGUACGGCCGCAAGGCUA
rnacentral:rRNA from 1 species